rnacentral:rRNA from 1 species
GAUGAACGCUGACAGAAUGCUUAACACAUGCAAGUCCACUUGAACUUCGGUUUGGGUGGCGGACGGGUGAGUAACGCGUAAAGAACUUGCCUCACAGUUAGGGACAACAUUUGGAAACGAAUGCUAAUACCUGAUAUUAUGAUUUUAGGGCAUCCUAAAAUUAUGAAAGCUAUAUGCGCUGUGAGAGAGCUUUGCGUCCCAUUAGCUAGUUGGAGAGGUAACGGCUCACCAAGGCGAUGAUGGGUAGCCGGCCUGAGAGGGUGAACGGCCACAAGGGGACUGAGACACGGCCCUUACUCCUACGGGAGGCAGCAGUGGGGAAUAUUGGACAAUGGACCAAAAGUCUGAUCCAGCAAUUCUGUGUGCACGAUGACGUUUUUCGGAAUGUAAAGUGCUUUCAGUUGGGAAGAAAAAAAUGACGGUACCAACAGAAGAAGUGACGGCUAAAUACGUG